AGGGUUGUGGCUCAAGUGGUAGAGUGCUCACCUAGCAUGUGUGAGGCACUGGGUUCGAUCCUCAACAUCACAU
rnacentral:tRNA from 1 species